UUUGCAGCGUGGCAAUGGCAACA
rnacentral:misc_RNA from 1 species